AUUGAACGCUGGCGGCAGGCCUAACACAUGCAAGUCGAGCGGAUGAGGGUAGCUUGCUAUCUGAUUCAGCGGCGGACGGGUGAGUAAUGCCUAGGAAUCUGCCUGGUAGUGGGGGACAACGUUUCGAAAGGAACGCUAAUACCGCAUACGUCCUACGGGAGAAAGUGGGGGAUCUUCGGACCUCACGCUAUCAGAUGAGCCUAGGUACGAUUAGCUAGUUGGUGAGGUAAAGGCUCACCAAGGCGACGAUCGUUAACUGGUCUGAGAGGAUGAUCAGUCACACUGGAACUGAGACACGGUCCAGACUCCUACGGGAGGCAGCAGUGGGGAAUAUUGGACAAUGGGCGAAAGCCUGAUCCAGCCAUGCCGCGUGUGUGAAGAAGGUCUUCGGAUUGUAAAGCACUUUAAGUUGGGAGGAAGGGCAGUAAGUUGAUACCUUGCUGUUUUGACGUUACCAACAGAAUAAGCACCGGCUAACUUCGUGCCAGCCGCCGCAGUAAAAC
rnacentral:rRNA from 1 species